AACGAACGCUGGCGGCAGGCUUAACACAUGCAAGUCGAACGCACCUUCGGGUGAGUGGCAGACGGGUGAGUAACGCGUGGGAACCUUCCCUGUGGUACGGAAUAGCUCCGGGAAACUGGAAUUAAUACCGUAUACGCCCUUUUGGGGAAAGAUUUAUCGCCAUAGGAUGGGCCCGCGUCGGAUUAGCUUGUUGGUAGGGGUAAUGGCCUACCAAGGCAACGAUCCGUAGCUGGUCUUAGAGGAUGAUCAGCCACACUGGGACUGAGACACGGCCCAGACUCCUACGGGAGGCAGCAGUGGGGAAUAUUGGACAAUGGGCGAAAAGCCUGAUCCAGCCAUGCCGCGUGAGUGACGAAGGCCUUAGGGUUGUAAAACUCUUUUGGCGGGGACGAUAAUGACGGUACCCGCAGAAUAAGCCCCGGCUAACUUCGUG
rnacentral:rRNA from 1 species